UCAUCAGUCUGGUUUAUCCUUACUUGUUACUCCUUCUUGGAGAACAAUAAAUGAUGAUUAGAUCUUGUGCAAUACUUGAUUAGUAUCUCUGCAACAACUUGGAAAUGGAGACUUACUCAUCAUUGCUCCUUUCUAAU
ensembl:snoRNA U8 U8 small nucleolar RNA